CUGUUUCCAAGUGCUCUACAACACUACUUGUGAAUUUGCUCAUGAAAUUGAGGAGGAGAGUGGUUGGAAUCUAGCAUUACCUCAUUUGAGCAAAGCGGUAGCCUAGCUAGGCCUUUCCCCCUGUUUUUUUUUCGCUUUGUUGUUUUGUUUAAUUUGAUGUACCUUUACAUAUAUAUUUUAUGGUUGAACUUGAAAUUAUUUGUUCGACUCUUAGUGGGCAGAUUUCUGUAAAGCAUUAUUAGUAGAGGCAGAGUGGUACAGCAGGAGCUACACACCAUCCCUUGAAGAAUACCUCAGUAAUGGAUGCAUUUCAUCAUCAGUUUCAGUCCUUAUGGUUCAUACAUUUUUCUCCACAACCCAUCGUGACGGAAUCAAAGAGAUUGCUGAUUUUCUGCACAAGAAUGAAGAUCUUGUGCAUAACAUAUCUCUGAUAGUUCGGCUCACCAAUGAUUUGGGAACUUCCACUGUAACUUUUCUUUCUUUAUUAAUUCUUCUUCUUAAUGAAACACGGCGAAAUCUAACCAAAUUGCUAUAGUGUUUUAUUAGUUUUUACAGCCUACUUCCAUAGUUUAAUUAAUUAAUGAAUUGGUUAACAGGCUGAACAAGAGAGAGGCGAUGCUCCUUCAGCAAUCAUAUGUUACAUGCGAGAGAUGAAUGCUUCUGAAGAUAUAGCUGAGGCGAAGAUUAAGGGCAUGAUAGACAAUGCGUGGAAGAAAAUAAAUGGGACAUGCUUGAGAACCCCACAACAAUUGCCUUUUCUCUCACCAUUCAUCAACAACAUUGCCACAAAUAUUGCGCGAAUGGCGCACAGCCUUUACCAAGCUGGAGAUGGAUUUGGUGAUCAAGAACAAGGCUCUCAGCUGAUCCAGUCUGUGCUAGUUGAGCCUUUACCACUUUGAAGAGUUGCAAUCUAGAGAGUCAUCGGUAGUGUUUAAUAAGCAUUCUGUAAGAAUACAUCCAUUGUAAGGUGAGCUUCUGUUGAAAGCACUAUUGCAUCAUCUACAGUUUAAAUUUAGAAAAUAAAAUUAUUAGUUUUAUCUUUUC
rnacentral:lncRNA from 1 species